rnacentral:rRNA from 1 species
UACAGAGGUCCCAAGCGUUGUUCGGAUUCACUGGGCGUAAAGGGUGCGUAGGCGGUCUGACAAGUCUGAUGUGAAAUCUAUGGGCUCAACCCAUAGUCUGCAUCGGAAACUGUCGGGCUUGAGUAUGGGAGAGGUGAGUGGAAUUUCCGGUGUAGCGGUGAAAUGCGUAGAUAUCGGAAGGAACACCUGUGGCGAAAGCGGCUCACUGGACCAUUACUGACGCUGAAGCACGAAAGCUAGGGGAGCAAACAGG